rnacentral:rRNA from 1 species
GUGUACACUUGGUGUGGGAGGAUUUGACCCCUUUCGUGCCGGAGCUAACGCGUUAAGUGUACCGCCUGGGGAGUACGGCCGCAAGGCUAAAACUCAAAGAAAUUGACGGGGGCCCGCACAAGCGGAGGAGCAUGUGGCUUAAUUCGAUGCAACGCGAAGAACCUUACCAGGGCUUGACAUGCAACUGCAAGUCCCGUGAAAGCGGGAUGCCUUCGAGGGUGUUGCACAGGUGCUGCAUGGCUGUCGUCAGUUCGUGCCGUGAGGUGUUGGGUUAAGUCCCGCAACGAACGCAACCCUUGUGUUUAGUUGCCACUACCGGUGAUGAAUCGGUAAGCACUCUAAACAGACUGCCCAUAUCAAGUGGGAGGAAGGUGGGGAUGACGUCAAGUCAGUAUGGCCUUUAUGUCCUGGGCUGCACACGUGCUACAAUGGCCGGUACAGAGGGUUGCAAAACCGCGAGGUUGAGCUAAUCCCCGAAAACCGGUCCCAGUUCGGAUUGGAGUCUGCAAUUCGACUCCAUGAAGUUGGAUUCGCUAGUAAUGGCGCAUCAGCUACGGCGCCGUGAAUACGUUCCCGGGCCUUGUACACACCGCCCGUCACAUCAUGAAAGCUGUCUGCACCCGAAGUCACUGAUCAAACCCGCAAGGGAUGAAGGUGCCGAAGGUGUGGGGAGUGAUUGGGAUGAAGUCGUAACAAGGUAACCAAGGGCGAA